rnacentral:lncRNA from 1 species
UUUGUGUGUGUCUGGUUGAAGAAACACAAGGGGCGACCAAAGCUCCCUCAUGAACCCUAGUCUUGCAAUUUCACCAAAUUGAUAGGGUAAAUUGAUUCCAAAUCGAAAUCCAAACUCAGAAUAGUGAUCACCUUCGUGAAAGGAUCAUAAGGCAAGGAAACCGAGACGUCAAGUGGACAAACCGGUGGUGAUACACGUUUGAAAGGAAAGCUUUGAAGCCCCGGGAAUGGGUGAAGUUGGGGUUACUCCGGAUGGCGAUCAAGCAAGAUUUCAAGAACCGAACACAACAUUUUGAAGCUUCCGCGUUAAUAUAAUUUGUUUUAGACUAUGUUAAUCUUGUAAACACUUAACUUAUCGUUUUGAAUGUUUUAAACUAGAUGGGAAGUUAACUAGAAUACUAUAAUCAUGUAAGUUUAUUAUCAUAACUAAGUUUUUGAAAUGAUGCAUUUUGU